rnacentral:rRNA from 1 species
UACGUAGGGGGCAAGCGUUGUCCGGAAUCAUUGGGCGUAAAGCGCGUGUAGGCGGCCCGAUAAGUCCGCUGUGAAAGUCCAGGGCUCAACCCUGGAAAGCCGGUGGAUACUGUCGGGCUAGAGUCCGGAAGAGGCGAGUGGAAUUCCUGGUGUAGCGGUGAAAUGCGCAGAUAUCAGGAGGAACACCAAUUGCGAAGGCAGCUCGCUGGGACGGCACUGACGCUGAGACGCGAAAGCGUGGGGAGCGAACAGG